GCAAAAUGGGAGCUGUGGCACCUGCUUCAGAGGUGUCCGUGAGAAUUAAAUGUUAAUUUCACGUAAAAUUCUAACACACAUGGCCCAUGGCCCGUAACACACAGUGAUAAACUUCCGAUCAACGUUGUUGCUGCUGUACUGAGAGGGCCUCUACUUGGCCAGACCCAGCUAGAAGACUAAGAUCAGGGGCACUCUGGACGCAGCCCACAAGGCUAGCUCUCUGCAGCACUGAGCAAGAUGAUGAAACCAAGGCACAAAUCUAAAUGACUCCCUAAGAUCACACAGAAAAGAAAGUACAGAGAGAAAAAAGGAUGGAAUACACAUGAAUGCCGAACCACGUUGGAUAUGUAGCGGUUCAUGAAGAUAUUCCAUGCAAGGCCUAUCUAGUAGAGCUUCAAAUCUAUUUGAAUAAAAAUGGCACUCAUUGAGGACAUCUGCUUUCUGUAAUGUCUACACAAAGUCUUACCAGGGGUCUUCUUGGCUCUUAUUGACUGCUGAUGAAGGAGGAGUUUAUAAAGAAAACAAGUCAAAACCUGAAGAACUCUGCUACUGAGAGCAACACACAUAUUUUCCCAGAGUGCCAAGUUGAGAAGAAGAAGUACAAAGCUUUGUUAAUAUUCUGAACAGUACUGCUUAGUAUGAUCUAAUUGAUGGAUUUUCCAUGGACUCCCUAGAGACUGAAAAAGGUUUGACUGUCAGGAAACUUUCCUUGUGUUUAUUCUUCAAUAUUCCUUUUCAUACUUUCCAAUCAUCAUUCCCUGUUAACAUCCCUUGAUGGGUCACCUUAAGUGAUUCUUCGUUUGAAUGGCAUUUAUAACGUUUUAUAUUUCCCUGUUAGUUUCUAUCUUGACAAAGUACAUAUUUUCUUAAUCUUCACUCAUAACAUUAAUUAACUUUUCCAACAUUUUAAAGCUCAGUUAACAUUUCUUUACAUAUGCCUCUGUCUUUAAAAUAUGAGAUCUGAAUGUACUGGUAUCACUAAAAUUAUCUACAGAGUUCUAAUACGAUGGAAAUUGUGCUAUAAAAAUUUGUUCUUACAUAAUUUGCUUCAACGGAAUUCCUCCUGAACUAAAUACUUAGUCUUUACAUUCUUUAAAAUAACUGAAAUUUCCCAGAGGAAAGUCUGAAUUGUUCAUUUAACCUUGUGUGAUGUGUGUUGUCUGUAUCUAAAACAGCAAAGUGGACACACCCUGCAUGCUUAACAUUUUUGACUUUUCUUUUUUUUUGAGAUCAAGUUUUGUUUUUGUCACCCAAAAUGGAGUGCAGGGGUACAAUCUCCAGUCACUGCAACCUCCGCCUCCUGGGUUCA